rnacentral:ncRNA from 1 species
CUCUUGUAAUCGGGUGGGUAUGAAAAUAUAUAUAACUGAUUAGAUAAAAAUGAUUGGAGGCGUAAGGGUCGAAACGACCUUAACUUAUUCUCAAACUUUAAAUGGGUAUGAAGGUUGUGUGUCCAAUUGGCCAAUAUUGGUAAGCAGAACUGGUGCUGUCGGAUGAACCAAACAUAAUGUUACGGUGCCCAAAUUAACAACUCAUGCCAUGAAUAGCGUUGGUGUCUUCAAACAGCAGGACGGUGGACAUGAAAGUCGAAAUCCGCUAGGGAGUGUGUAAAAACUCACCUGCCGAAACAACUAUCUCUUAAAAUGGAUGGCGCUAAACUUGUAUACCUAUACAUUACCGCUAAAGUAAAUGGUUGAAUUUCAAUUUAUUCGGGAUUGUAAACUUCAAAACUAUAGUGAGUAGGAGGGUACAACGAUGAGCGUAGAAGUGUUUUAAGUAAGCCUGCAUGGAGCCGCCA